rnacentral:rRNA from 1 species
UACAGGGGGGGCAAGCGUUGUUCGGAAUUACUGGGCGUAAAGGGUUCGUAGGUGGCCACUUAAGUCAGACGUGAAAUCCCUCAGCUUAACUGGGGAACUGCGUCUGAUACUGGGUGGCUUGAGUGCAGGAGAGGGAUGCGGAAUUCCAGGUGUAGCGGUGAAAUGCGUAGAUAUCAGGAGGAACACCGGUGGCGAAGGCGGCUUCCUGGACAAUUACUGACGCUGAGACGCGAAAGCGUGGGGAGCAAACAGG